rnacentral:rRNA from 1 species
UACGGAGGGGACUAGCGUUGUUCGGAAUUACUGGGCGUAAAGGGCGCGUAGGCGGCACAGCAAGUCGGGAGUGAAAGCCCGGGGCUCAACCCCGGAAUGGCUUUCGAAACUGCUGAGCUAGAGUACAGAAGGGGCAACCGGAAUUCCCAGUGUAGCGGUGAAAUGCGUAGAUAUUGGGAAGAACACCUGAGGCGAAGGCGGGUUGCUGGGCUGAUACUGACGCUGAGGCGCGAAAGCCAGGGGAGCAAACGGG